rnacentral:rRNA from 1 species
AUUGAACGCUGGCGGCAUGCCUUACACAUGCAAGUCGAACGGCAGCACGGGAGCUUGCUCCUGGUGGCGAGUGGCGAACGGGUGAGUAAUACAUCGGAACGUACCCUGAAGUGGGGGAUAACGUAGCGAAAGUUACGCUAAUACCGCAUAUUCUGUGAGCAGGAAAGAGGGGGAUCGCAAGACCUCUUGCUUUAGGAGCGGCCGAUGUCGGAUUAGCUAGUUGGUGAGGUAAAGGCUCACCAAGGCGACGAUCCGUAGCGGGUCUGAGAGGAUGAUCCGCCACACUGGGACUGAGACACGGCCCAGACUCCUACGGGAGGCAGCAGUGGGAA